ensembl:lncRNA
CUUACUCCCUUUGGGCACCGAGGGCAGGCUGGCCUUUGAGCUCCAUGAAGACCACGGGGCGGGUUUCGCUGCCUUGACUCGGCCCAGGGCUGGUGCUUGGCCUUGGAUUCCAAGCAUAGCCCUGAGUUUGGCCAGAUGCUUUUCAGGCAGAAGACACCCCUGGAACACCCAUGCCCUCUUAGAGAUGGUCAGCUGAACGCCUCAAGAGGGUGGGAGAGAGAAGCAACAUUUCCAGGGAGCUCGGCAGCAGACGUCUAUUCUCUGCUUUCCUUCUGAAGGGAGCUUCUACUUUUUCUAAGAGCAGGAGAUGUUUCAAAGGAAGCGUGAUACCCUGAAGAGCAGCUUGGCCAUGGGACUCAAUUUGACUCACAAUACAGUUUGGAAGAGAAAAACGCACACCCACCUAUGAAAUGCUCAAUUGCAGUUAUUUUACAUGGAGCCUGCGUUUCAGGGAGGCUGAACCUUCCCACCAAUGCUCCGUUCCGUGUUGUUGCCAUGCAGUGAUGGCAUUCCAUGAUGGCAGCAGAGGGGCACUCUGACCAACUGCCGUCUGACACGGAAGUGCGGAUGAAGCAAAGGAGUGGAACUGAACUCCUUUGUGCAGAAAAAGUGGCACCCACUGACAUUCAGGGCUCUAGGCCCCGGGGCCAGUGCCGGCCUCACUGGAUGUGGCUGUGGCUUUAUGUCCUGGGGCUGGUGCCGGUCUUUCUUGCUGUGGAUGUGGCUUUAGGUGCAGGGCGGCUGUUGGCCUUUCUGGCUGUUGCUGGGGCUUUAGGCCCCGGGGACACUGCAGGCCUCUUGGGCUGGGGCUGUGGCUUCAGGCCACGUGGCCAGUGCUGGCCUCUGGAGUUCUGGCUGUGCCUUGAAGCCCCUGGACUGGUUCCAGCCUUUCAAGCUGUGGCUUUAGUCCCCACAGCUGGUGCCAGCCUGUCUAGCUGUGGAUGUGGCUUCAGGCCCUUGGGCUGGUGCUGGCCUCUCGGGCUGUGGCUGAGGCUUUAAGGCCCAGGGCCACAGCCAGCCACUCGGGUUGUGGCUUUAUGCCCUAGGGCUGGUGCCAGUCUGUCUGGCUGUGUUUUUAUGCCCCAGGGCUGGUGCUGGCCUCUCUGGCUGUGGCUUUAGGCCUUGCUGCUGGUGCCAGCCUCUCUGCCUGUCGCUGUGGCUUUAAGCCUCAGGGCAGAUGCCAGCUUCCCUGCCUGUGGUUGUGGCUUUCAGCCUAGGACUGGUGCAGGCCUCUCGUGCUGGUGCUGCGGCUUUAGGCCUCCGGGCCAAUGCUAGCCUGUCUGCCUAUGGCCUUAGGCCCUGGGCCGGUGUAGGCCUCUCAGGAUGUGGCUUUUGGCCCAAAGACUGCUCGUGGCCUCUGUGGCUGUGGCUUUAGGCCUUGGUGCUGGUGCCAGCCUCUCUGCCUGUGGCUUUGGCUUUAGGCCUUGGGCUGGUGCUGGCCUCUCGGGCUCAGGCUGGGGUUUUAGGCUCCUGGGUCAGUGCUGGCCUGCCUGCCUAUGGCUUCAGGCCCUGGGCUGGUAUAGGACUGUCGGCCUGUGUCUUUUGGCUUCAGGGCCACUGCAGGCCUCUCUGGCUGUGGCUUUAAGCCCCAUGGCCAGUGGAAGCCUCCGUGGCUGAGGCUUUAGGCCCCGGGGCGGGUGCCAGCCUCUCCUCUUGUGGCUUUAGGCCCUGGGCCUGUGCUGGCCACUCAGGCGGUGCCUUUAGGCCCUAGAGCUUGUGCUGGCCUAGAACAACGUGCAUUUUAAAAUUGGUCAUGGAAGGAAAUGAAAGCAAGAGAGCACUGAGCUCUUCUGUGUGUUUCUUGGAUUGGGAUAGAGACAGGAGAGUGUGCUCAGCCUCCCUCGUGUGGUUGCCUGUAUCCAGCAACAGCAGCCGCAGCAGAGAACAUCGUCACAUCUUUAUUAGGCGCUCCUCCGACUGUCUCUUUUUGUCUCUGUUUUCUGGAAUGCAGGCAUUUCUCUUUGUGGCCCACAAACACUUUGUGCCAGGAUAACCAAGUAUGAAUUCUCACUGCUCUUUACCCUGCUCAAGAGAAGGUGGCUGUACUGUGAGGGCAGGUGGGGGCAGGGACGAGGGUCAGGAGCAAGGGCAGAGUGCUUUCUUUGUUACUCAAUGGAAGGGGUGUGUUUUUCAGGUGGAUUUGUCGUGGUGCUUCUUACAAGGACUGACUAACGGUGGGAUGAGAUGUGCCCUGAAGGGGGUGUGCUUGCCACCUUGGAAAUAGGCAAAUACAAAUAAUUUAUCAGGACGGUAUCUCUGAUAAAGCAGAUUCUAUGCACAACUGCAAUGGCAGGCCUCCUGCAAGCAGGAGAGCACACAGAAAACAGCCUUCCACUUUUACUCCCUGUUAUCGACGCUUACCUCUUUCUCCCCUCAUUGGUUCCUCAUUGGCUGAGUACUUCAGGUUCACAAUCUUCCCGAUGCUCAGCUAAACGUACGGAUACUGGAUCAACAUAACUUGUUGCUAGCUAAGCACAUGUCACUCAUUAGUUAACGUGUGCUCACGUGUGCUCAUUCAACACUCAGUCACUGUUUCUGGGCAUCUGCUUGCCCUUGGAUAGAGACAAGCUUGGCAGGAGGAUAGAAGGGAGUAUCUUGAUGCCUGCCUGUUGCACCUACCCACAGAGCGAGGCAAUCCAACCUUGUGCAGAGGCCCUGGCUUCUUUGAUGUUGGUCAAGUCUGUUUUUCUCUUGCUGAGGUUCUCUUAUCUAAACAGAAUAGCCCUACAAUAUGCUUUCUAGUCCAUCGUACUAUCCCUAUACUAUCUGGAACAUUUAAAAACUAUUGCAGUUUUGCAAGCAAGAACUAAUCACAUAAUUCAGCAGCUAUACUUCUGAAAUACGCUACUAACAUAUCCAGUAUUUCUACCUUUUCACAUCAGCUAUUUCUAAGGACAAGUUACAAAAUACAAAUCCAUUGUGCUCUACUUCUUCGGAUCAAUUCCCCAUUUUCGGUAUCUAAUGCAGAAACAACAUUCCAUUCCUACGAUUCCCCCCUUUUCUUCUUCUUACAUUGUUGAUUUCUGCAAUUCUUUUAUAUGGUACAAUCUUACAGAUAUCAUCUUUGCUGUCUUCAUUCCCCAUCUCCUCUCACACCAUCAUUUUAUCCAAAUGUGGUGGUGGCUCCCUUGCUGUUUGCUUCAGUAGUGCUGUCUCGAUCAGUUGUUGAACCAGUCCCUUCACACACAGGAUAACACAGCAACCGAUGGCCAUCAGUGCUCCUUCUAGUUAAAUGCAUCAGGGAUUCCAAGGAGUGGAGAGUUAAAAUCGUCGGCUUGGCCACAUACUGCACAAUGACUGAGACUGGCAUACUUUGCAAAGCUUUUUGGUUUUUUUUUUUUUACAUAGGCAUUUGCAUCAAAAGCCGCACUUAUCAAAUUUCUCACUAUUACAAGAGCCCAUAUUUACUGUCUUUGGAUUUGCAGUUUUAAAGGUCCAGCUGACUUCGAUUCCCAUUGUGUUCAAGGAAUCUUACUGACCCUAGUCUAAUGCAUCCACAGCGCUUGUUCUUUAACUUUGACAGCUGUGUGGGACGUUAGCAGCACCUGGAACAGACCUUCCCAGCUUGGUUCCAGGGGUGGGUCUGAAAGAGAUCUAAUAUAUACACAUAAUCUCUUUGUAAAAUAUGAUUUAUCAAGCUGUCAAGGCCUUGGGCUCUUGUUCCUAGAACCAGUUUCUCUGUUUCCCAAAGCUAUUUCUGCCCUGUUGGACAAUCUUUACAAUCAAGGGAGCUCCCUGGUUGGAGGAUAUUGUUGCGCUAACCCCAAACCUUGGAAUAAUCUCCUGCAACAAUACCUCGGCUACUUCUUUGGCUUUGCAGAGGGAAUGCUUCUGGCCACCCUGGAAAGGUAUUGGUUUGAACUAGCAUAUAACAAAACCCUCCUUUUUUCCUGGUAGUUCCAAACAAAAAACAAUUUGCCAUUGUUGCCCUGGAAGGUUCCCUUUCCUAAUAGGCCCCACUUGUACCCUGUUCCUGGUACUAGAUUGCGCAAUUACUUUCUACUGUUUGUCCCCUCAGUAUGUUUCAAUAGGUUCCCUUAGAACCAACUUCCAUAAAGUACUAAAGGGCACAACAGCGUGUCCAUCUGGGUACGCACCCAUCUGUCAGCUAGCUCUCUUCCCUUCUAAAUCAUUAAUUAGAUUCCCGUCCCCUCUAAAAUGCUCCACAGGCUGACUCAGGUUCAGAGAUUUG